CCAAGAGUCACACCCUGUGCCUUUGUCCAAACACUGCUUGAACUCUGUCAGGCUGAUGCUAUGACCACUUCCCUGGUUGCCACAGUCCCUGAAACUCAUUAUCCUUCACUACUGGUGAAAGAAAGAAACAACCUAAGAGCGAAAUAUAUACUGGAUUUCAAGGA